rnacentral:rRNA from 1 species
AUUGAACGCUGGCGGCAGGCCUAACACAUGCAAGUCGAGCGGAUCGGCGGACGGGUGAGUAAUGCUUAUGUAUGUGACUGUUAGUGGGGGAUAACGCUCGGUACUGGGCGCUAUUACUGCAUCCUCUUAGCAUAGCCUAUGUCGGAUUAGCUGGUUGGUGGGGUAAAGGCCUACAAAGGCGACGAUCCGUACCUGGUCCGAGAGGAUGAUCAGUCACACUGGAACUGAGACACGGUCCAGACUCCUACGGGAGGCAGCAGUGGGGAAUAUUGGACAAUGGGCGAAAGCCUGAUGCAGCCAUGCCGCGUGUGUGAAGAAGGUCUUCGGGUUGUAAAGCACUUUAAGUUGGGAGGCGUUACCAACAGAAUAAGCACCGGCUAACUUCGUGCCAGCAGCCGCGGUAAUUC